rnacentral:lncRNA from 1 species
UAAAAUAGUACGAUAUGCUACGCAAGUGUCAACGGGGUAUCACAUUAAUUUCCCAUCAGAUUCCACCGGUUCAAAUAUUCUGUGCCGUACGAACUCGAAGGUGCAUAACGUCGGGCUGAGUAAUAAUUACCACGACAACAUGCGCACACGACUGGUGCGCGGUGCGGCGCGACGCCGUAGUGGAAUGAACUCAGAAAAGGUUAUAGUUAUUAUGAAGUCAAUGAAGUGAGAAGGGUUUUUGGUGUCGUGAAGCUCUCAAUCUUUUCCAGUCUUCGUCUCAUUUUCAUCCCUUAAGCAAAAUCGCUGGCUGUUCUGACGGAUCCACGGAAUUACCCUUUAUUAUUGAAGUGACCCAUCGGUUGGGAAGAUGCGGUUUUGGAUUUUACUGGGUCUCCUUACUUGUUUCAGUCCCUCCAGUUCAUUACGAGCAGGCAACAUGUCAGGACUAAGCAUGGUGAGCCCCGGCAUGCUAGGCCCCAGCAACAGUUUCCGUGAGCGAGCUCAGUCACUUUGGCGUACGAUGUCUAACCCUGUGCGCUCACGGAGUAGAGGAAGACGUUCGAUGAGCUUAGGACGAUCUGAUUCAGGAUCCCUCCCGCCGGCAAACUGGCCGGACCCGGAGCCGCUGACCCGAACCGCGAAUUAUCCAGCCGCGUCAGAGAGACGUUACCACAUGACAGCACAAACACCUUACGAAUCCCCAACCCGACUCAACACGCCGAACUCGCCGCACUUCCUAGAUUCACUCGUCUCAAACCUGAUCAGGGACAAUUUCGGAGGGUCAAACAUAGCAGAACGUUUAACGGGCAUCCAAAUGAGUCAACCGCGGCUCGUGGAAGACAUCCACUAUGUAGAUCCGCAUACAGGUAGUUCGUAUCAGAGGCAAAGCUGGAUAACGUCUUCAUCAAACCAGCCCCACGGAAUGGAGAGAAGAAGAGCAAGGGGUGAGUGGUCCGUAUAUACUCCAGUUCAGGAAGAGGACUCAGUGACGUUGGAACGAAGGCGCUCUUACAACGGAAGAAUGAGACGACGUCCGCGGGUUCCCCAUUUGUCUUACAACCCUUUGGCAUCACCUCAAGGGAUACUCAAUGAGCUGCCGCCGGGGUUGGAAGUGGUACCUUUUGAGACGGCUUUCAGACGCUGUUCACAGCGUCCGCGGGAAGGAAACAGAUCUUGCGAAGGAGGCGUAUGCUCAAGGCCCCAGAAUAAUGACCCACCUGACAUACCAACCAACGAUGACGAUCCAGACGCUUGUUGUAUUUGCAGCGCAAAUAAGAAAAACAUGCAGCUGGAGCCGUGCAAUCAUGAAGUAUGCAUGACAUGCACCCGGAAGAUGAAAUCGAAAGAGACCCCAUUACAGCCAUUUACCUGUCCGUUUUGCAGGGCGCAGGUCACCGGUUGGCAUCCGAAACCAUAAUAGAGCGACAUUGUAUACCCUAAGAAAAAGUUCAUUUGUAUGACAAGUUAUUUAACUGGACGUUGGCAUAAAGUGGUAGGUAUUAUUGCCAGCUGGUGAGCUUGAAUAAACGUAAAAAUAAAUAUCUAAAUAAAUGAAUAAAUAAACUGUCGGGAUGCCGAUUGCUGCGGUCGGAAAGUACGUUCCUCUAACUGCGACAAUUAAAAUUUCCGUUCGUGUUUUAAUUUUUGAAAAAUAAUUUUUUUUCACGUGCUGUGAUAAAUGUUCGCAAAAAAGUUAGUAGUUAUUCGGAUAGUUUUCCUUCUACAAAAUUAAAAUAUCAUGGUAAAUUUUAAAUCAUUGCUGUAGAGAUACGAUUUUUUUUAUUCUAGUCAUCGAUUAACGAACUGUAAAAUCCUUUUUGCUCUUCUUUAGGCAAAAUUUACGUAUUUUGCGUAAAAAUUAAAAUUGUGGAAAAAACCAGUGCUUAUCGAAAGCUGAUAUUCAUGUAUAACGCUAAAUAAACGACAUUAUAUGCAGCAACAAUAAAAAGCCUAAAAAUUUCGUGAUAGGAUUGUCCACUUUUCCAAAAUAAGUAAAAUAAUAAAAAAAAAAUAUAAUAAUAAUAAUUUGUACGGUGGCGUGUUUGCGUUAAAAUGGACUAAAUAGUCUCCUUGUGUUUUAACAGUUUUUUGGAGAGGAGAUUUGCUCAUUUAAAAUUAACGGUGCGGGGUCUUUUGGCUUGAAUGUGGUCAGCAGAGGGUUUUUUCCUUCCUAUUAGAGGUUCAAAGUAAGGAAAAAAGAUAGUGAAAGAAAAGGAAAAAGACGAAUUAGGCUUUGAAUCUACGUAUAUUUGUAGUUAAGUGGCAGGAAAAACCGCUCUGAUAUGUACUGAUGAGUAGUUUACGUUAUAUGUUUUUAAAAACAAUUUUGCUUUGGCCGUGAUUCCUACAUUGAUAUAAAGAGUUCUAGCUUGUUUUUCUCCGAGCGCGAGUUGUACAUUACUUUUCCAUUAUAGUUUUACAAUCACUAAAAAAUAAAAUAACUUGUACUUAGCUUACGCUUGAAAAUGUGUAUAUAGAGUCAAAAUAUUUGCCUUACUCGAACAUCAGAGUUAUCAUGUUACUGCCUCUGCUAUGUUGUAUAUGAGGAUUUAACUCAACAUGUUCACUCGUGAAUAGCCAGUGUACAUCAGCAGAAAUUUUACUCACAUCAUUAAAGAUCAUCUUCUGAUAUCAAUAGAGAUAUUCUUAUCACAGUAAUACAACUUUUUUUUUUAAAAAAAAGAGUUCCUAUUUUUAUUGAAAAAUAUUUGAAAGUGCCACUUCAAAAACUGCCCAUCCCAGAAAAAAUGACAAUUCUGUUUAUUUGCAGAGCAUAUACUUUAAGGGUAAUACACAUUAGUACUUAGCUA